GCCGAGGUAGCUCAGUUGGUAGAGCAUACGACUGAAAAUCGUAGUGUCGCCAGUUCGAUUCUGGCCCUCGGCACCA
rnacentral:tRNA from 2 species